CGACGCUUUCUUUGCUGUUCGUCUAACUGGCUAGCAGCUUCGUCCCACCGUUUCUUUCGUUCCUCGCUGAUCGAGGAGGUUACUGCACCUCCGAACUUGUUUUGUUGAUGGUCAUAUAACCAUGUUUACAACGCAGAUGAUCAUGAUCACGCAUGCAUGCAUGGUUAGAUGACCAUCAGCAAACAUGUUCAUGAGGCAUGCAAGCAGAUCGAUGGUUUCCUACUACUCCUGAUCGCACAGUUCCUGAAGAUGGCGUGCUAGUACUGUUCAUGGUUGUAGGAUGCAGUGUGUGUGUUCUGGAGAUGCGAGUAGCGCUUAUAUCACUUGCACCCCCCUUCAAUCCAUGGAAAUUGUUCAUCCUUGACCAUGUAGCUACAUCUGAAACAGGGAAUAUCUCUUGUUUUCCCCGGGUUAUCUCGGAGUAGUUUGAUUCUCUUACGGAUUCGGCGACGAACUGAUGAGCAAUGUGCUGCCCCAUGCUUAUGGCAGAUGCUCGAUUUGAACUAGAUAUAGUUUGAGCACAGAGCGUGUUGCUAUGUACAAUCAUGCAGUGACACAGAUGCAGUUAGUUAACCUGAUAUAAUGAUGUGCGGUCAGCUUGCAAAACUGGUGAAGAUCUGCUUUGUUAGAUGUGGAACAUGAAUGCUGAUUUUCCAUAUGAACUCUCAGUUAUGUUUACACUCGUAGCCACAAAAGUAUGACAUCUAUAACACAUAGAAUUCGAUAUCAGUAUGUUGUGCUUUUUUAGUGUAAGUAAAAAUUAGUGGCCAUUGGAUUAGUAUAGAGAUUGAUGUUGUUUGAUCGGAUGUCGGUCCAAUGGAUAAGACUGUAACUUAAGCUUGCUAUCAGAGAUACAUUUCUAACGUUAUUAGAAAUGAAACUCAGUUUGUGUUGUUAGAAAAUAUAUAAUGGCGAUAGAAAUGACAUAAAGAUGCUCCUUUGAGUAACAUCAAUUGGCACAUCAAACAUGGGCAUGCAUUGCAACAGGUAAAAGUUUGAACUACAGGUAGAGUUGAUGCAGCCUGUUAAGGUAUUUCAAAACAGAUAUGCACAACAAUUCGAUUUCACCCCCCAAAAUGGACCAGAUAAGGGCACAAUUUCCAUGUUACCAGACUAGUGGCACGAGACAUUGCAGGUCACAUCAACAAUACACCGAAGAGGUUUCAAUGAGGCUUUGAUAUAUAUAAUGUGGAACAUUAGGAAAGAAUGAAAUCGAUGUAUUUUUUAAGAUUCAUUCGGAAAAAAAAGAGAUGGCUUGACUCA